CAAAAAUCUUUGUUGGUUAUAUUUCCUUUUCUCCAAACUUCUGAAUUUUUUCCCAUCACAACUUCAAAAGAUUUGGACUUUUUACAUAUUUAUUCAGACAUAAUCUCUGCCCUAGGGGAGCUAACAAUCGAGUUAGGGAUACCGUGCACGGAGCCAGAGUGAUCAGGGAAGUCUUCAGGGAGGAAGCAACCACAUUUUCCAAAUCAUAAAUCGGGAUACAUGGUCUGGUGGAGGAUUUUCUUUCUCAUUUGCAAACGUAAUUCUUUGAAAAGCCCUACCCAUGCAUGCAGACUGUUAAACUUAUUUUAACAUUCAAUAAAUUACCUUUGUCAAGGAGAAUCCAUUCACAGAACAUCAGGACUUUCCUGAGAAUACUGACACCCAGGGGGUGAGCAAGCUUGGGAAGGGGGUGGAAUUCUAGCUACGCUUUGAGGGAUGGUGGGUUUGGAAGGUCAGAGACCACGGGGAUAGAUCCUGGGGAAAGAUCAAGGGCCCAGACUCAGAGAAAGGAAGACAUCCGUGAGUAGCUGGUGAGGAAUCAAGGUGAGAUGAGGUGAGUUGAGGAAAACCGGUCCUUAAACAGAAGCCCGGGGGGUCUGGGCUUGAGGCCACUGCAAGUUUCUGGCCAGAGGAGUCCACGAAGCAGGGAAGGUCCGGCGGGCAGCAGCGCUGGAGCUGACUGGAGACGUGAGAACUUGGCAUCAAGGAGCCUAUUUUGGCAACCCAGAUAGUGUCCCUCGGGCAGUGCCCUUUGCACCCGAGAUCCAUGGCCUGCUGGGCGGGGAGCGCGGGGUCUCUGUCCUCCCCUGACGCUGCCCCACGCUUAGGAGCUGGGAAGCAGCUGCUGGAGCCCCGUGAGGAGGCGGCGGGAAGCCCGUCCCAUCAGCCUGGCCCUACUUAGGAGCCCCGGACCCCCGCUAGCUCGGGCAGACCAAAUCUGUGUCCCUUCUCUGGACCUCUGUGACAUUUCGGUCCCUCCAUCCCAGGUGACCAGGGACACGAGGACACGCCUGUGUGCCCGGGGCCGGAGGAGGACACAGGCCGCUCCUGGCCCCCGGCCCAGGACCUGCGAUCAUCUGGCCGGCACCGCUCCUGGCGGGGGCGACAUCCUGCGUGGGGACCGGUCUCCGGGGCUCGCGUCCUCCGCGGUUGGGGAGGCCGGGUCCGGUCUGCGGGCAAGCGUCGCGGCUGGAGGGCCUCAGCCUUCCUCGGUGCACUCCCUUGCCUUCGAGGGGAAACUGAGGCCCCGAGCAGGACAGCUCUGGACCAGGGUUGCGAGGGUCAGGGAAGCCGGCGCCUAGCCGAACUUGGCCUCGUGCCUCAAGCCAGCUCCUCACGCGUCCCUGAGGGGCUCAUCACCUCGACCCUGCAGACCAGCAGCGAGGCAGCAAGGGAGCCGCGUCCAGACAAACCUAACCAACCGGAGCCCGCUCCGCGCAUGCGCCCCGGCUCGCGGCCGCGGGUCCGGCCCCGCCCGCGCCAGGGCCGCGCACUCCGGAGUCGCGCGCUGGGACUCUCGCAUGCGCAUGCGCGCGGCGGCGCUUCCUGGGAACGCGGGCUCCGCGGAGCCGGGGUGGGCGGUGACUCAGCGCCCGGGGCGGAGCGGGGUCCCCUAGCUGUGGGGCCGGCGAGCUUCGCCCCCUCUGCCCUCAGCCGCGCCGGUGCCCGAGGCUGUCCCGGCCUCAGGCCGCUCUGUGCGUUGUCCGGUCGCUGGACGCCCGCAGGGGCUCGGAAGUCUAGAUUCGAGAGUGGGAAAGGCCUUGAAGUUGCUCAUUGUUGUUGCGGGUGCGGCCACAGGUUGCUGGAGGCAUUUGGGGCAUGUGAAGAAGGCGAAGACGAAUCGGUGCUGGCAGUGAGGAUGUGGUUUUCACCUGCGGAAGUGAGAAUUUUAUGAGGUUAUUCCAUCUCCCUUUCCCGCCAGAAGCUCAGAGGAGCUGGAAUCCAGUCUGCCUGUCCUGUCCUCCAGAACAGAAACCAGCCCUGCCUCGCUCACCUUCCCCUACUCCUGGGCGAGGUGGGUGGGAAAGCACUUAGGGCAGGUGACUCUCCAGAUACGGGGGUCAGGGAGGGUGAUAUUCUCAUUGGGAUGUCCUUCUUGUGGCUCUUGGGGUUCCCUGAGUCGCUAAUUUCAGGAGCUGAAAAGGACUUCAGAGAUUACGUUGUACGCCAUCAAGUGGUCCUUAGCCAGGGAUCUCCAUCCAGGCUUUGGUGUCUUCUGACAGGAUGCUGGCUUAGGUGGCUCCCUCUGCCCUAGAUGCCGGCUGUCACCCAGAGAUGGCCUCACUUCCCUUUGCUGCCCUGUGGAGGACGCAUUGGUGUUGGUCGGGACCUUGCAGAUGAGAAAAUCAAGACUUUGCCUAGGUAACUUGUCCGAGAUGGCACAGCUGUUAAGGGUAGAGCUGAUCUGACUGCAAGGCCCAUCCUGGCUCUCCCUGCUGCUGCAGUGUUUGUGUUCAUCAUGUACUUUUGCUGUCCAGAGCCUUUUCCUUGUGCCAUUGCCUGUGUCCCUGGGCUUGGGCAUGUCAAAUGUACUGUUUCAGCCCAGUCUUGUGGGUUUCCACAUGGAUCAGCCUGACAUUUGAGUCCAUCCAUAGUGCGUGCAUCCUCCUUCAGUCCUUUGCUGCUGAGUCUCCUGCAUCGGGAAGCCGUGUCACCUAUUUCUGAAUGGCAACGUCCAACCCAUUCUCUAAAGCCCAGCUCAUAUGCCACAUCUCCCUUGAUCUCCCUCCAAACUCCUUCGCCUCCAGAUUCCCAAACUCACCUUUGUGAGCCUGCCCUAAAGGAUUUAUCAUGUUAUCUCCUGUAUUUACAGCAAUUUGGACGUGCAACUUUUCUUUGUUGGGGGUGGGAUUAUACUUCAAUAGUAUUUGUAUCUCUCUCCAAUUCCUAACAGAGGACCUUACACACAGUAAGCCAUCAGUGAAUGGACACAUCAGGGGUGCUGUUUGUGGUGUAAAGGAUUUGUAAAGUGAAGAUUUAUCCCUCAACUUUACAUGCUGACUUUGCUUAAAACAAGAUUCAACUGUAAGGGGAAAUGAGUGAGCAGGAGAAGGUUUAACUGAAGAGGUGACACUUGAGCUGGACCUUGAAAUUGGAAUUCUCCUAGCAGAUGGGACCUUGGAACUUGGGUCUCCAGAUUGGCAAUGGCAACUAUGCUGUCCUUCGCAUUACUUUUUCCAAGAGGAAGGAUGAGACACCACACCUCAUUGGAAGACGUUGACAAUCAGGAACUAGAAAAAUGGAUUAAAGGGACCUUGGGACCUUAGUCUAAGAGAGAGCAGAAGGUGAAAUACAGGGCAGUCCCGUAGAGUGACCCAGUGAAUCUGAGCCCCUUGAUUUAAAUUUAGGUCAGUUCUAUAAAAUGUAAUCCUAAAACUAGAAGUGUGUGUCUUCUAAGGUCUUCACUGUCAUCCCAGGUGAGGAUUACAAGUACUGCCCCUUUUUGCUCUACUUGUUUGUAGACUGCCGUCUUGUGAUUCUUGGGCCUGUAGGCUUCAGCAACCAGUCAACAAAUGGGUUGUUGGUACCUACUGUGUGCACAGCCUCGUGCUGGCUGGGUAGGGUAUAGGCGCCUGCUGGCUAUGUUCUCAAGGAAUCAGGAGAUUGACAUUUUAGUCUAGUUGGGAAAGCAAAACACACGUGAGAACCAGCUGGAGAACAGAAAAGAUGAGUAGUUAAGAGGCAGUUAAGACUUGGUGGGAUCUGCCUCAAGAACCCUAGAACCUGACAAAGGAAGGAGCAUGUGGUCUAGGUGUCUUGGGUCUGCUCAAGUUGGGGUCAGGAUCCAGCCUGGAUCUGGCUGGAGGUCUAAGCUGGAUCCCACUCAGCCUCAGAAUGAGGUUGGGGGCCAAGCAGACUUUAUGCUGUCCUCAUAUGAGGCUCCACCCCAUUUCCCAAAUGUUUGUGCUGUGUCCUCGGUGUGCAUCUCCCCGCUUGUCAGGAUUCUCCAUUCAUCCUUCAAGUCCCAGCCCAAAUGUCUCUUUUGCAUGAAGAUGCUUCCCUUCCACCAGUCAGAAUUGUUGCUGUCCCUCUACAGCCCUUUGCUUAUAACUCUACUGUGACAUUUAUUCCAUGUUGUCAUGUAUUUGUGAAUGUCAUGUAUCUUGUCAUAUCUUCAUCAGUUUUGUGUUUUCACAGUUCCACUAGAUUGUGAGCUGCUCAUUAGCAGGGAAUAUAUCUGAUUCAUUUCUCUAACUCCCAGGGACUGGCCGAGAGUGGUUCCUGCUCAGAAUAUGGCUGUUAAAUGGAUGAACAACAGUUUAACAGAUUCUGUUCUCCCCAGUAGGUCAGUUAUAUAAAAUCAGUUCUGUAAAAGUAAUCUGAAACCAGAAGAGGAAGGUGCCUGCUUUUUGGAGCCAGCGUCUGGCAGGGGAACACACAGUGACAUGAAAGGUCGUUGUAUAUUGGACUUGUGGGGACAUACAAAAGAGGGUAUCCAGUUGUCUCCUGGUCUCGACCCUUCAGGACCAAAGGGACAGAAGCCGAGUAUGAGUGGCAAGAAUGGCCUCCCCUGCCUUAUGGAAGGAGUCCUGCAAUCAGAAGAGUUGGGGACUAGUUCUGAACCAAUCUCGGUGACAAAAUACUUGCCUUAUUAACGUUAUGGGAUUAUUCUGUGAACCAAAUGAGAUAAGUAUUUGAGUUCUUUGAAGAGUAUGAAGUGUUGUUAGAAUAUUAGGCAUCUUUGUAUUUUCCUCUUCCUCCUGAUCCCUCCUUCUCCUUCAUUCUUUCUAUAGAGAAAUUUUCAACACCUUCCACUAAGGCCGGCUUGGAAGAGCUUAGCCAGUUUUUGUUUAAGUUCCCAUUGAGGCCAAAGACUAGAUUCAAGGUGGUAGAGAGGAAAGAACAUGGUUUUUUGGCUUCUAAACCAGGGGACCCUGGGUAAAUCACUUCAAUUCUCUGAGCCUCAGUUUCCUCAUCUGUGACACGGAAAUGAUGUUUACCCCACUCACCUGCUAAGGCUCCUGGGAGGAUCAAAUGAGACAAUGAACAUGACAGUGACUUGUAGACUGUAAAGGUCUAUUCAAGUGUGAUGGAUUGACUUUUUAAUCCAUGCUUGAGGGCCCGGGAUGAAAUUUGCCAAGACUGUUGCACAUCUAGACAGUGACAUCAUAGGCAUGCUAUUGGACUCUAGGGUGGGGCAGAGAAGGCAGGCCCAUAGUCAUGGGGGCAAGCAGAAUACAGAAGGGAGCCCCACCCACCACCUGCCUGGAGAAGACCUGGUUCUGUGGUCACUUGUUUUUCCGACCUGAAGAAAUUCCAUCUCCUGGUUUCCAAGCUGUCCAAGACUCUCUCAUGAUCUCUCUUGCUCCCCUGACCAUGUGCUCACGGGACACCGGCAUUCAAGCCCAAGGGUUGGGGCCACUCCGGUUUAGUCCUCUGUCUCCAGGGUCUUAGCUUGGUGCCUGGGCAUGGCAGGAAUUCAGAAUAAGUUUGCUGUUGAAACGAAUACAGGUAGAGCAUUUUGUGAGACCUCACACCAUCCUUAUUCUUGCUUCCUUUGUGUUUGCAAAUUCCAGUUGUAGACAAACAUUAAACAAACAAACAAACCAGA